GCAGGCUGAAAUUCGCCUGUAUGAAGCCGGAAUUGCUAGUAAUGGCAGGUCAGCAUACUGCCGUGAAUACGUUCCCGGGCCUUGUACACACCGCCCGUCACACCAUGAGAGUUGGGGAUACCCAAAGCCCGUGAGCCAACUAUAAAGAGGCAGCGGUCUAAGGUAGAAUCAAUGAUUGGGGUGAAGUCGUAACAAGGUACC
rnacentral:rRNA from 1 species